UACGUAGGGUGCAAGCGUUAAUCGGAAUUACUGGGCGUAAAGGGUGCGUAGGCGGUUGUUUAAGUCUGUCGUGAAAUCCCCGGGCUCAACCUGGGAAUGGCAAUGGAUACUGGCGGGCUAGAGUGUGUCAGAGGAUGGUGGAAUUCCCGGUGUAGCGGUGAAAUGCGUAGAGAUGUGGAGGAACACCGAUGGCGAAGGCAGCCCCCUGGGUCAAGAUUGACGCUCAUGCACGAAAGCGUGGGGAGCAAACAGG
rnacentral:rRNA from 1 species